rnacentral:lncRNA from 1 species
UUUGAUUUUUAUUAACAAAUACAUUGUUUAACAAAUUUUUUUAUGUGCUAAAUAAGUUAUGCGACAACACUUUUAAAAAUUUCAAAUAUAAGAUAUUUACACUUUUUUUUUGUUCUUUCUUGUUUUCUUUUUUAUGUUUUCUUCUUUCCUUUCUACAUUCAUCGUCUUCAACCAGCAACACCUCCCAUAACUAACCCAAAAUUAGCACGAGAAGCUUUCACUCUCAAUUUCUUCUCUACCUUCAUUUAACACACGUAAAAAUAAACUGCCACACCCACU